GUGCCAGCAGCCGCGGUAAUACCGGCAGCCCGAGUGAUGGCCGAUCUUAUUGGGCCUAAAGCGUCCGUAGCUGGCCACGCAAGUCCAUCGGGAAAUCCACCUGCCCAACAGGUGGGCGCCCGGUAGAAACUGCGUGGCUUGGGACCGGAAGGCGCGACGGGUACGUCCGGGGUAGGAGUGAAAUCCCGUAAUCCUGGACGGACCGCCGAUGGCGAAAGCACGUCGCGAGAACGGAUCCGACAGUGAGGGACGAAAGCCAGGGUCUCGAACCGGAUUAGAAACCCGCGUAGUCC
rnacentral:rRNA from 1 species